CCUACGGGGGGCUGCAGUGGGGAAUAUUGCACAAUGGGCGCAAGCCUGAUGCAGCCAUGCCGCGUGUGUGAAGAGGGCCUUCGGGUUGUAAAGCACUUUCAGCGGGGAGGAAGGCGUUGAGGUUAAUAACCUCAUCGAUUGACGUUACCCGCAGAAGAAGCACCGGCUAACUCCGUGCCAGCAGCCGCGGUAAUACGGAGGGUGCAAGCGUUAAUCGGAAUUACUGGGCGUAAAGCGCACGCAGGCGGUCUGUCAAGUCGGAUGUGAAAUCCCCGGGCUCAACCUGGGAACUGCAUUCGAAACUGGCAGGCUAGAGUCUUGUAGAGGGGGGUAGAAUUCCAGGUGUAGCGGUGAAAUGCGUAGAGAUCUGGAGGAAUACCGGUGGCGAAGGCGGCCCCCUGGACAAAGACUGACGCUCAGGUGCGAAAGCGUGGGGAGCAAACAGGAUUAGAUACCCGAGUAGUC
rnacentral:rRNA from 1 species